CCUACGGGAGGCAGCAGUAGGGAAUAUUGCACAAUGGGGGAAACCCUGAUGCAGCGACGCCGCGUGAGUGAAGAAGUAUUUCGGUACGUAAAGCUCUAUCAGCAGGGAAGAAAAUGACGGUACCUGACUAAGAAGCCCCGGCUAACUACGUGCCAGCAGCCGCGGUAAUACGUAGGGGGCAAGCGUUAUCCGGAUUUACUGGGUGUAAAGGGAGCGUAGACGGCAGCGCAAGUCUGGAGUGAAAUCCCAUGGCUUAACCAUGGAACUGCUUUGGAAACUGUGCAGCUAGAGUGCAGGAGAGGUAAGCGGAAUUCCUAGUGUAGCGGUGAAAUGCGUAGAUAUUAGGAGGAACACCAGUGGCGAAGGCGGCUUACUGGACUGUAACUGACGUUGAGGCUCGAAAGCGUGGGGAGCAAACAGGAUUAGAUACCCCGGUAGUC
rnacentral:rRNA from 1 species